rnacentral:tRNA from 1 species
AUGGAUAUAGUUCAGUCAGGUCAGAAUGCUACAUUUGGGAUGUAGUGGUCGCAGGUUCGAAUCCUGCUAUCCAUA